UCAGUAACACGUUGAUAAUCUGCCCUCAGGUCAGGCAUAACCUUGGGAAACUGAGGCUAACACCUGAUAAGAGAAUCGUUCUGGAAAGAAGUUUCUUUUAAAAGCAAUGCCUGAGGAUGAGUCAGCGGCUGAUUAUGGUUGUUGGAGGGUUAAAGGCCCACCAAGCCUAUGAUCAGUACGGGCCUUGAGAGAGGUAGCCCGGAGAAGGGAACUGAGAUACUGUCCCUAGCCCCACGGGGUGCAGCAGGCGCGAAACCUCUACAAUGCACGAAAGUGUGAUAGGGGGACCCUAAGUGCUCAGUUAUACUGGGCUUUUGUCAAGAGUAAAUAUCUUGGCGAAUAAGUGGUGGGCAAGACUGGUGCCAGCCGCCGCGGUAACACCAGCGCCACAAGUGGCAAUCAGUUUUAUUGGGCCUAAAGCGUCCGUAGCCUGUCGAGUAAAUCUUUUGUGAAAUUGUUGGGCUCAACUUAACAACGUGCAGAAGACACUGCUUGACUUGGGACCGGGAGGAGUCAGAGGUAUUUCGGGGGGAGCGGUAAAAUGCUAUAAUCCCCGGAGGACCACCUAUGGCGAAGGCAUCUGACCAGAACGGAUCCGACGGUGAGGGACGAAAGCCAGGGGAGCAAACCGGAUUAGAUACCCGAGUAGUCCUGGCUGUAAACUCUGCGAACUAGGUGUUGCGUAUUCUUCGUGAAUGCGCAGUAUCGUAGCGAAGGCGUUAAGUUCGCCGCCUGGGAAGUAUGGUCGCAAGGCUGAAACUUAAAGGAAUUGGCGGGGAGACACUACAAGGAGUGCGGCGUGCGGUUUAAUCUAAUUCAACACAGAGAAUCUCACCAGAAGCGACGGCAGAAUGAAAGUCAGAUUAAAGGUUUUACUUGACGAGCCGAGAGGUGGUGCAUGGCCGCCGUCAGCUCGUGCCGUAAGGUGUCCAGCUAAGUCUGGUAACGAGCGAGAUCUAUGCCUACAAUUGCUAACGAGUCCUUUUGGAUGCUUGAGCACAUUGUAGGGACUGCCUUCGAAAGGAGGAGGAAGGUGUAGGCUACGGUAGGUCUGUAUGCCCCGAAUCUUCUGUGCUACACGCGCGCAACAAUGGUAGGGACAAUGGGAUACAACUCCGAAAGGAGAAGUUAAACCUCUAAACCCUAUCUAAGUCCAGAUUGAGGCAUGUAACUCGGCCUCAUGACGAUGGAAUUCCUAGUAAUCGGGUGUCAUCAGCACCCGGUGAAUACGUCCCUGUCUCUUGCACACACCGCCC
rnacentral:rRNA from 1 species